UUCAUUGGCUUAGUGGUCAGGGUGUUCUAAUUUUCUUUUUAUGGACUGGUUGUCAGAUUUAUUAAAGAGCCUAUUUCUAGGUACCAGUGUUGCAUGGGACUUUAGACUGAAAUCCAGAACCCUGGUCUAGGUCAUUCUUGCAUUGCUCUGAAGAAAUACCUGAUACUGGGUAAUUUAUCAGAGAAGAGGUUGAAUUGGCGCAUGGUUCAGCAGGCUGUACAAGAAGCAUAGUGGUAUCUGCUUCUGGAGAGGCCUCAGGAAGCUUCCAAUCAUGGCAGAAGGCAAAUGGGAGAAAAGUUGUCUGGAGACUACACAAUUCAGCUCUGAUGGAGAUAUGCAAUGACAAACGAAGGUAAGGUUAACCUCCAUGGGCGGCUCAAGGGGAGGAGCGCCCCCUGCCGUCUGUCCCUAACCUGCUCAGAAGAACAUUGGCAGGAGCUGUCCAUGCCUGAGACAAUCUGCAGAGCCGUCAGGAUAAAGAGAACUUCAGGUAUGUGUGACUGUUGCUGGUUGUUACCAACCAGUUGGAUCUUUAGGACCCAGGUUUUCUUUUUUAAUGACAGGAGGAAGUCUGCACACCUUCAAACUUAAGGAAGAGUGGUCUGCGUUUCUGGUUUGAUAGUUCACUAGGUUAGAGCCCUAGUCUGAUUGAAGGCAGGCAAUCGUUUCCUUCUGGGUGCAAACUGAGGGCCCAGUAGAGGGCAGUGUGGGUUCUGCAGUAUGGGUGGCCAGCAGCACAGCUCUACAGCUCUGCCGCUCUGUAGGCAAACCUCUGACCUCCCCAGAUUCUUCCAGUAGUAGCAGGGCAGCAGGGCGUGGCCACCCCCUGGUGGAUAAAUACAAAGCCAUGUUCCAGUUCCUCAAAGCUCACUCAGGGAAGUGAGGGAGCUCUGGGUGGGACAGUCCCCAAGGCCAGCCUCUGCCUGCUGCGGUUUACCUUCCUAUCUGAUAUGGUUAGACUUUGUGUCCCUGCCUACAUUUCAUCUUGAAUUGUAAUCCCCAGGUGUUAAGGGAGAGACUGGUUGGGUGGUGAUUGGAUCCUGGGGGCAGUUUCUUCCAUGCAGUUCUUGUAAUAGUGAGGGAGUUAUCAUGAGCUCUGAUGGUUUUAUAAAUGGCAGUUUCACCUGGACUUUUCCUUCUCUCUCCUGCUGCCAUGUACGAUAUGCUUGCUUCCCCUGCCACUGUGAUCGUAAGUUUUCUGAGGCCUCCCCAGCCAUGUGGAACUGAGCCGAUUAAACCUUUUUCCUUUAUAAAUUACCCAGUCUUGCGUAUUUCUUUAUAGCAGUGUGAGAACAUACAAAUAAUACACUGUCUCUUUCCUUUAUUUUCCUUGUACAAAAAAACAUAGCUAUAACCUCCACUUUGCUCAAGCAUUUGAUGCUUCACUUUUAGUGAAAUUCUCUCACUAAAGGCAAUCAGUUCUUCUCUGCUAAAUAAAAGCCCAUGAGUUAAAACAUGGGGAAGGGGGAGUCCAAGUGAAAUCCAGGCAUCCUAAACAGGGACUGUAGCUUUUUAGGCACAGAGGCAGUUUGGCAUCUCCAUAUUUCCUGAGACAGGAAAUAAGUAUAUGGAUAAUAACCCUGAUAUAUUCUGAGCAGAACCCAGUUUCUGUAGAGAAAAAGUUGAUGAAGAUCAGUUUGUAUAUUUAAUUCUUAAAUACAAAGGCAAUAAUGUCUCUCAAAUGCAAUGCAAUUUCCAUAGUAUUAGUAUAG